rnacentral:rRNA from 1 species
UACGUAGGGCGCAAGCGUUAUCCGGAAUUAUUGGGCGUAAAGAGCUCGUAGGCGGUUUGUCGCGUCUGCCGUGAAAGUCCGGGGCUCAACUCCGGAUCUGCGGUGGGUACGGGCAGACUAGAGUGCGGUAGGGGAGACUGGAAUUCCUGGUGUAGCGGUGAAAUGCGUAGAUAUCAGGAGGAAUACCGGUGGCGAAAGCGACUCUCUGGACGGCAACUGACGCUGAGGCACGAAAGCGUGGGGAGCAAGCAGG